GUAGAGAUGGGGUCUCUCUAUGUUGCCCAGGCUGGUUUUGAACUUCUGGCCUCAUGUGAUCCUCUGCCUCAGGCUCUCAAAAUGCUAGGAUUACAGGCAUAAGCCACUGCACCUGGCCAAGUCCACUUUCAAAUAACCCUACUCCACUACACAGGUCAGGCAACCUCUGGAGAGAGAAGGAGGCUUCUGUGCAAACCCAAAUGCUUGUGGAGAAAACUGAGAUGCUUGCCGCUGGGCAAACCAAGAUGUCUGCGGAGCAAACAGAGAUGUUUAUUGGGCCUUUGGAGGUGGUGGAGACCUUUCUUCUGUGCUUGUUGAGGUUCCCUUCUCAGUCUUCAGUGAAGGAUUUAGUUCAUCUGACCAAGUAUAAGGCUGGAGUGCGACGGCAUGAUCUCGGCUCACUGCAACCUCCGCCUCCUGGGUUGAAGGGAUUCUCCUGCCACAGCCUCCAGAGUAUCUGGGAUUACAGGCGCCUGCCACCACGCGGGGCUAAUUUUUUGUAUUUUUAGUAGGGAAGGGGGUUUCACAUGUUGGCCAGGCUGAUCUUGAACUCCUGACCUCACUCAGGUGAUCCACCUGCCUUGGCCUCCCAAAGUGCUGGGAUUAUAGGCGUGAGCCACCGUGCCUGGUGGGAAAUAAUUUUUUUGGAUAUAACUAUGGGGCCCAUGACUUACGACCUGCAUUUACUUACUACUACAUGCAAAUAAACCAGGUCGCUCCCUUUGAUAGUGGUAACCAGAUUUUUUCUUUUCUUUUUUUUUUGAGAUGGAGUCUCGCUCUGUGGUCCAGGCUGGAGUGCAGUGGCUUGAUGUCUGCUCACUUAUCAACCAUUCUGAAGACAAAAGGUGAAGCCUACACUGUGGAACAACCAUCCUCAAAUGAAAAGUUUCAUUACUCUUAUUAAAUGCCUGAAUGACUAUAUUAUAACAGAUUGUUACUAUUUCUUCUUCAACUAUUUCCAGCUGUUUUUAUUUUUCUGUGACCUUUUGACAUUGGAGCUAGGACACAAGAACACAAGGAUUUGAGACUCUUUUGUUUUGUUUUAUGGAAGUUAAAUGUUUUCUAAAAAAUAAAUGUUUACUAGCAUUAUAAGAAGCUACUUCUGUAGUGGUUUCUAAUUUUGAGCUAGUGUUUUUAUUUGUUUGUUUGUUUGUUUUUUGGUGAGAGGAGUGGGGAAUUUUUA
rnacentral:lncRNA from 10 species